GUUGACCUUUUAUUGUAGGUUCAUCAAAAAAGUAUUUGGCUGGGGGACAAAUGGCUCUUUUCCACAAUUAAAGAGCUGAAAGCACAAUAUUGGUGGUGUCAGAUCAGUAAGGUGGAUUCCCUACCACUGCACCACCUGGGAAGUCCCAAAAUAUUCACAGAAUUUUAAAUAAUACUGAAUGGAAUUUCAGGUUGGUGAAAUCUGAGCUUUCUUAUAAAAUAGAAAUAAC
rnacentral:lncRNA from 1 species